UGAGGAUAGUAUAGUUGAUCCCUUGAACUAAAAGUAAUCAUCAAAUGUAUUAUAAUCUAAUAUGUAUUUCUUUCUGAAACUUGCUCAAAGUCUGUAUACCUUGCUAAGCCCUUCAUUUACAGGAUACCAAACAAGUGCAUUUUUAUCAAUAACAUGGAAUACCAUGUUUCUACAUAAAAACUGCUGAGUAUGGUAAGCAUUUGAUGUGUCAUUACAGUAUGAUCUUUCGGUCCUUAUCAUCUUGUAUGACUGGGAUUUACCAAGAAAUUUUGACAGAGUUUCAGUGAGUUCUUUUCCUCCAUUUGACACUUCUUAUAUUAUUGGUUCAAAAUUACAUUAACAGCAAUACAUCUAACAUUCAUCAUAUACAAUGCUUGACAACAAAGUAUACAUGCUGUCAUCUCUGCUUUUUAGUGGCGAAGAGAAAUAGAAGAAAAACAAAUUCUUCAGAUAAGUUGUAAACACAAAAACUUCCUAAAUCUACAGCAUUGUAUCACAGUUCUUCAUCAACAUACAAAAGAUUAAAAUGCUCUCAGAAGACACACGUGCAUGUGUUUAAGUAUAAACACCUUCACCUCUACAUGCCACCACACACACUCAUGUCUGGUUUUUCUUUUAAGUAUUUAGUACUUGUUUGCAGUGUCAGGCCAUAAUUUGCUAGCAUAGUGUUUACUGUGUGCAAGUGUUUGAGUGUCUGUGUCAUUUCAUUUCCUUUCAUAAACACUAAAUUUCUGGUAUACAUUGGCUGUAGUGAUAUGUAGCGUGCACUGAUGGAAUUGUGUUCCUUCUGUUCCACAGAGAGCUCCAUAUGUCUCAGUUUCUGUAUGUAUAAGUCUCUAAAACAUUUUGACAUUCUUUGAAGGAAGGACACUUUCUAAAUGUUUUUUAUAAAAUCCCAUUCCUGAAUCCACUUUCAAAUAUGUUUCUUCUGAACAUAACCUUGCUGGAAUGCCGCCCACACUUAACUUUGUACAGGCCAAUGCAAAACUGAUUAUAUAAAUGUAAAAUGUGUCUGCAUGUAUAAUAUAACAAGAAGGAACUAGAUAGAAUUUAAUAAUAGUAAUAGAAAUAGAAAAAGAAUUGUAUGUGUUUUAAAAUUUGUCAAACACUAACCACUAUUAGUGUUACAGAAUACAUGCCAUUUUAUGUUUAUUGAGAGUGUUUAACAAGAGGUAAGUAAACAUGUGGGUCUGGAUUACAUUUCUGCAGAAAAAAAAAGAGGUCCCAAAAGGAGGAAAGAUGAAUUAGAAAUGCCUUGAUGCCUUGAUUCUUCUCAAUAAUUUGUCAGAAUAUGGGUUUUUCUGCAUUUGUUGAGGUUGUGAAGUUUUGUCCGUUGUUAGGAAUCUACAGAAGACCAAAGGUGUUGUCCUCAAGGGCUUAUGCCUCUUUUGUAGAUUUGUAGGACUAGUUUUUUGAAGCAGUUGGAAUUUUCUUGUCCUCCGUGGGGGCAAUCCUCAGGGUUCAUUUCAUACCUCUUCAAAAGUGAUGCUUUGAAAAAGCCAGUCCUUUUUUUAUAUUUGCCAUCAUAAACAGUGAUUCAGUAUAAUGGCUACCAUAACCUGCUUACAGACCUAGCACCACUAAAAGGUCGCCUUAAAUGCCCCACUAUUUGUUCUGCUUUCUGGUUUGUCCAGAUAUGGUAUGCUGUGCCCCUUCUUCCUUCAUUUUCCACAUAUCUGCAAGGCUGUUUUGAGACAAUAGCAAACUUGAAUUCAAAUUUCUGAUUUAAAGUUGGUCUAAGUCAUUGAAACCAGGUGACAGGUGAAUGAAGGUCUCUGUCUUUUCAGAUGCAGGGAGCUGUGAUUUUAGCAAACAUCUUUCUGAUGGGCAGAAAAAUAUACAUUGCUAUUGGAAAUGCGAGUAGUUCUUUAUGUUAAGAGAGUAGCUUAUUAUCAAAAGGCAAAUAACUUUCCCUAAUAUGUAGUGACUACAAUAUUUUUUUAGCUCCUCUUUCUGCUCCCUGAAGUCUAUAUAUAAAUAAAAGAUUCUAAAUUGCUCUGUGGUUUCAAAAUCUCCUUUUUUUUCCUUUUUUUUUUUUUUCUUUUAUGAGAAUAAUAAAAAUAACUCUACAAUCAGUCAGUAUUAAGAAAUCAUGAAUAAUAAGUUUCUCACUGUAAAAUGAAAUAAACCAUAUGUGAUUAUAAAGAAACAAAGAGAACUGAGCAGCUUGGGUGAUUUAAGUGGAUUACGGAAAAGCCUUGUGAAGACUUUCCUGAAAAGCCAAAAAAAAGGCUAUAUUCACCUCCAAGCAUUUUCUAAGUUAGCCUCCUUCAUGUGCGAAAAACCUAACCCAAUUGACCACUGAAAUACUAGCUACUCUUUUAUGGGAUACCAGCUUCAAAAGCAGCACUUAUAUUUCUGCAUCUUGAGUUGUUAAUAGUUAAGCUUUAUGUUAGAGAUAAAACUAGUGGAGGAAGAAAGUAUUUUACUUGUCCACCUCUCUUAGCAUAUUUAAUCAUAGUAUUGUAAAAAAUGAUGAUACCAACUUCCUAAUACUUAUGAUAUUAGGCAAAAAGGCCAAAUGAAUAAUGGGGGAAAACUAAGGGAUUUUUAAAAAUAUGGUCAGCUUAAGGUUUUGCAUUUUGUUCAGCUAUAGUGAUCUAAUAAGGUCUUACAUGAAUAAUGAAUUAGAAAUACUAGAAUUCAGAUGUUAAGAAAACUCAUUUGGAAAUUUUCUUCAGAAUGAAAAGACAGGUAUUAUUAUCUUAAUUUGUUUGCAUGUUAGUGGGAAAAGGCUGAUGUUAAGAGUUAACCACAGAAAAGGACUGAAUACAGGGAGAAAGUGUGUAUGAAUAAGCUGAGUACUGAGUUAACUUAUGCUCAUUUAGAGUUGACUACUUUGGUCUAUGUAGCCUGCAGGAAGGGACAGGGAAAAAAGCCAAUGACAACUUAGCUAAACCAGAAAUUUUUUUGAGUUCAUAUUAAGAAAUGUGUGUUUGUGUUGCUGAGCAUUAUACCACAACAAAACAGAAUAUUCAGAAGCAUAUUAGAAGAGUUAUGAAAUAAUUAUGAGCAUAGCUGAGAUUUUACCAGGUGCAUUUAGGCAUUCUCCUCCAGACUGAGAAACUGUUGUUAGAGGAAGCAAUUGAAUUUUUUUAUAUGGCUAGCCUCAAUUUUUGAUAAAUAAACACAAAAUUUUUGUCACAUUGCCUUCUUUAAAUGAUUAGAAAAGUGUUUCAAAAAAGGGGAAAAUCCAUUUUUUUUUACAUUUGAAAUACUCUUUCUUCUUCCAGUGUCUUUCUAACAUAAUUAUUUUAAUUCAAAAAGCUCUCCUGGUUGUGUUUCCUUUCUUUUCCUUCAAUAUAGGAAAAUGUCUGCUUAAAACAAAGAAAUUUUUCCAUCAGUUGAAAACUACAAAAUAUAGCAGUCUUAUGUAUAAAACUGAAAAUGACAUUUAAAAAAUGCUAUGAGUUUGUGUUAAACAAAGACUGGAUAUUUUGCAGUCAGGUAAGAGCUGAGGAGAAGUAAUUUAAUAUUUCUCUAAGUUAUGGGGUGUGUUCCACACCAGAGGUCUCUCUGUGGAUAGGGGUUUUCUAAGGGCUGAUCCAGAUGCCAGGCUUUACUUGUAUUUUUAAGAACAUUACAUUGCCCAUUAUCUUUAUCACAGAGGCAGACUUUACAUAUGAGCACCAGAAGCUGCAUGUAAACUGUAUGAAAGUGCAUGUUGCAGUGCCUCCUGCAGUCCCAGUUCCCCAGGCAUCCACCCUGGGACUAGCUUGAACAAUAUCAUGGCUCCUAGGCAGCCCAUAAACCUGUGUGUCUUUCCUGCAGAAACUAGACCACAAGAACAAGGUAAAGUGCUGUAUCCCAGGUCUCAUCUUGAGAUCAUGGAGAUGCAGCAUGACUAAAGAAGUGUGUUCUUGCUCCUGGCAGUGGGAAAGUGGCUCUGGGCUGAUAUUUUAUGAAGAUGUAGAGCAAUACACAUUUGUAUUUUUCAUAAGAGAAAUAUAGUGUAGAAUAGACUAUUUCAGUUGAAAGGAACCUACACUAAUCCAACUACCCGACCAAUUCAGGGCUAACCAAAUUAAGGCAUGUCAAUAGGGGCAUUGUCCGAAUGCCUCUUCAACAACUGACAAGCUUGGGGUAUUGACCACCUCUCUAGGAAGCCUGUUCCAAUGUUUGACCAUCCUUUCAGUAAAGAAAAGCUUCCUUAUGUUCAAUCUAAACCUUCCCCGGUGCACCUUUGAACCACCGUGCAGUAAUGAAAUAGUACCUUGUCUUCAAGCUUUUAGCUUGAUUUGGUAGGACUGCCUGUGGAACAAGGCAUAGUUUUAAUACUAAGCACUAAGUUCUGAUUAAAAUAUAUGGAGUGGAAUUUACUGGACUUUGCUUGGGUUAGGACUCUAGAGUGAGAUAACUAGCCCAAGGUCUUGACUGUCUUUUUAGUAUUGAGAACUGUUCAAUUCCAGAAACCAAUUAAUUUUGUUCUAAGAUAAGUCAGAUGAAUUAUCUUCUGGAGGUGCUUAUGUCUCUCAAGUAACCUAGAAGAAAGCUACGAUGACUAGAUUAGCCCCUAACAUUUAGAUACUUAAUGCUGUAUAGGAAGCAGCUGGCUUAAAGAAUUUACUCUCUUUGAUGUGGUCCUCAGUAGGAAGAUGAUCAUAAAAAUACCUUCAUUCUUUGUCAGUUUGGGAAGCUUUGGAUUUUGACCACUAUCAAAUGCAAUAUAAUAUUUUCAAAGUUUCAAGAAUGUUCAUAUUCUGAUGAUACACAACUGUGAGCUAAACUGGUGAAUCAUACUAUGAUGAGCAAUAUGUCCAGUAUAUACUAUUCAGUAAAAGCUGGCAACAGUGCAUGUUCUUUUAGCACUGAGUUAUUGGUAUAAUACAAACACUAAUACUAAUACUAUAAAUUAACAACAAAAAAAAAGUCAGAUACAUAGCAGGUAUUGAUUAUUAACCUCUGAAAAUCUCUAGAAAGUGAGCAGUGUUUUCCUCUAGACAAGUGAAAGAAGUAUUUUCAGCUGGGUCACAAAGGGCAGCUUUUGGAAAUGAGCAGCUAGCUACUGGAAUAGCUGAGCACCCAUACUUUUAAAAUGGUCUGAAGGAACUGCAAUUGUCACUCUGAAAACUAGCUAAUAUUUUUAACAUGUGGAGAAAAGCACACAGAACAGAAAGAAAUCAAUAUCUAAUAUAUUACUAUGUAACUAUAUGGUAAACCAAUAUUAGCAAUAGAGUACUGCACUAAAAUAAAAUAAAUAUUACAAGGGCAGAGAGAAAUAAAAGAGAAAUAUUACAGAGCCAAAAAUAAAUCCAUAUUGAAUAUAUUUAUCCACAUGCCAAAUCCAAAUCUGCUUUCCAAAUCAAUACUGGAGAUAGAUGACUAAUGUGAAAUGAACAGAAAUAUUGCCAGCAUGGUGAGAAACCCAUACUGAGAGUGUUUAUCUACAUUCAAAAACAAUAUUGGAGAAAGCCUGAAGUCAGUUAUUUGUAAUAUUCUAAUUUAUUUAAUUUUACCUUAUGACUUCCAGAGUUUAAAAGAAAGUAAAAAUUGAAUAUCGUCCUUGGAAGAAGAGAAAGUAUACCAUCCAAGCACACCAACUGGCUGCACAUGAAGCCAAAUUGUGUUCAGUAUGUUUAUCCCACUGCUCUCAGUCAAUGUAAUUUCAUUGCUAUCUAUAAAUACUGCUUACAUUUUUACCCUAUCUCUUCUUUCUCACUUGCAGAUGCUGGGUUGUUUCUAAAUUAAUUACAGCUGGUGACAGAAGAGGAACUUAUUUAUGUUUCAAUUUAUAAAAUAUGCUGUUCAUAAUCCUUUCAGCAUAAGGAAUGAAAGGACCUCUGUUAGGUACCUGUACAUAGUAAUGCUUUUCAUUGGGCUUCUCAGAUUCCCAAUAUCAAAAGGCAGCAUUAAGUGGUGACUCAACUACCACCGGUGCUGUCAUAACUGAUGCUUGAGAAAGACAAUUAAUACAAGAGAGCUAAAGUAUGUCCCUAGAUAUGAGAAGAAACGGACAUUUUUCUUGUAACUGAGCCUGACCUAGUGUUGACAAUGCAGCGAUGUCAGUUGUUGAUCUGUACUUCUCCAGAUGAGGAACACAUGCAUAGGCUCUUUAAGCAGGAGCAGAGGGGAAGAAAAUGGAACAAGUAUUAAUUUUUUUCUGCCAAAGAUGAAAAGAAAUAUCACCGUUGUGGUAGCUUCUUCCCUCAUGUCUGUUCUUCUUCCUCCUCCAGGCUUUUCAGAAACAGCAGUAGUAAUGAUAUGUAAUUGGAAAAAACAGAAAUUCAUCAUACAAAUGUCAUGUAUAGGUUAUUCCAGGGUGUUUCUGAUAGGCUGGAUGUAUGGUAGUUGUGGUCAGUUAGUGCUAAUAAGGCAGCAUAUGACAUGUUUUACAGUGUAAAAUUGCUACUAACUUACAUCACAGGAAAGUUUGCCUUUUGAUUUGACCGCUGUGAAAUGUGAAAUACUUACAGGAUGAAUCAAUGAUCUGCCAUGUGUUAGGUACAGGAAGUACUUUCCCUAAUAUUAUUUAAUGGGGUGUAUAUAUCAAUGAAGAAACCACCUCACUGUAAAACUGCUCUGUUUCCCUGUCUCACUUCAGAGCCUCUGUCUAUAGACUCCUCACCUCCUAUCUUAAUUUCAGAUGAAGAUUUAUAGGACUAAUGCACAUAUAUACAGUGACCAGCAAUACCUUGUGGUUCAUGAAAAUUAUGUGAUUACAAUAUGAGUGAGUACACAGACUGUAGCAAAAUAUUACCCAUGGAAAAGAGUGAUUGCACUCGUGACAGCCUCUUUAUGUAUCUCUUUCCAUGGUAUGGUAACUCUUUCCAGGCCUUUGGCUAAUCUAUCAUUAGGAGAAGUUUGCAGCUGUUGCAGCAUGUUUCUCAUUGCUAACUCAGAGACCCACUAUAUCUAAUCUGUCAUUAAAAUAGCAGUAAGUUGUAUCUACACAUUUUCUAAGAAUACAUACAAGUUUUAGGGGGCAAAUGAGCUGGUAAUAGAAACAUGAGGAUAUUUUCUAGGAUUGAGCUAGAUUUUGUAUUAAUCAGUAAUUAUUGGUUUGAUCUAGCAUCACAGUUCUUUCAUUUUGAAGCUUCAUAUUUUUUUAGGGCACGUAAACACUAAUCUUUUGAUGAAAAUAGUUAGCAUGCCAACCAACACAUGUUACAAGGAAUCAUCAGUAUUCAGGGCAAUGCAAUUCACUGAUUUUCCUAAAAAUAACCUUCAUAUACCAAAUUUGCUUCUUUAAUGUUGGUAUGCCUAGUUUUAUCCUAUGAAAAGUCGCAAGUCUAUAUUUGACAGGAGUCUAGGCCUACAGCUUGAUGAUGUUCAUUUUUGCAGUCACGGAAAUCUAGACAAGUCAUGGUCCUUUCCCCAAAAGCAAAUAUACUCUAAAAUACUCACAAAAGACUAGUUAUGGUAUAAAGAAUUAUCUGAAUGAGUGUUGUGAUGUGAAAUGUUAUAAGCAAAGUCAGAGACUGAAAGGUCAGUAAAACUUGUUGGGCAGGUGAAGAUAAUCCAAACAUUCAACUCCCAAGACAUUUUCAGUCUCAAAUUUUGUUUAGUUCUGUUCUGAUUUUGAGUCUUUUGGAUACUGAAAUUAAGAACAAAAGUGAGGAACAUCUAAAGAGAGAAUGGAUUAAAGGCAAUAUUCAUUGAUACAGCUCUUUUGGAAAGAGGGAGACUGAUGAUACAUUGCCUUGCUAAUCUCCCUGUGGGAGGGGAGUCUUGCCUCUGGCUACGCAGAAAAGGUAAUCUAAAUUUUUUGUGAGUAGAGAUACUGUACAAAUCAUGAGAAAUGAAAUCUUCUGCAAUCCCUUCAUCACACUUGCUGUGUGAUACUCUAAUUUAUACAUUUUUAUUGUGGAAUAGGUUGUCUCAAGGUAAGACUGUAUCUAGGAUCCACUGUAAAGCAUCCUUUUAUCAUCUGCGGAACCUGAACAUUGAUAGAAUUACUCUGAAAUAAUGGGAAAAUAUUUCUGCAAUAUUUAAAGAAAAAUGCAAAUAGAUUGCAAUUGCAUGUCAUUAAUUAAUAAUCAGUGAUUUUUGCAAAUAUUACUUCCAUGUGCGAACCCUACAAUUCACCUGUCUAGCCGAGAGGUUUUCUGCCUUUGUCCCAAAAGAUUCAACUUGUGAUUUAUUUUUCUUAUUCUUUUUUCCCCCUCGUCCUUUGCUGGCGUAUUUGAGACAUUGACUUCAUGCCUGAAGAAUAAUUUUGUGCCUCUGAUGGAAAAUAAAAAUGAGUUCUUAAGGCUGUUUGUUAAUGACUGGUUUUCUGCACUUCUCCAUGAAGUUCUGCUUUUCCAGCGUCCUGACACCAAAAUCAAAGACGUUUCCACUCAUUUGCAGCUUCAUUCUGCCAGUCCCUUUGACAUUCACAGCUGCGCAAGAGCUCUUUGAAUAUCUAGUAGUCCUUUUAAAUUUUCUCGGAAAAUUGUCAGUUUCUACUACAUCAGGAAUUACCAUACAGAAAGAUGAUAUUCAUAUGCCACUAUCGUGUGAGUCAUGCUGGCAUGCUCUAAAACUAGUGCUUCUUCCUUGUCUCACCCUCCUUUGUAAUCUGUGGGGGCUUCUUUGUAUCAUUUCUGCAAGUCAGAAUGAUACACCUCAGAGGGAAAGGGGUGUUCUGAAACCUCACGUCAUCUGCUACCUAAAUAGCUGCAGGCAGAACUCUUGCCUUUUUCCCUGGGUAUUUGGCACAGGCUUCAGAAACUCUGCAUCACUGCUUAGUUGUAGAACUGAUAGGAGGGAGUGCAAAAGUGGCCCCCAAUUGUUCAAAAUGUAAUACCUUCAAUUCUCCAAAAUAACAUAGUUUUCUUGAGGUAUUUCCUUAUUCAUUGGGACUGAUUAUAGAAAAUAUCAAAACCCCCGCCCUGCCACAGCUCUGCUUUUCUGCCUUCUAAUAGGGAAGGAAAAGGAUAAUAAUCUAUGUGGAGAGUCAGCCAUACAGAGCAUUCUGAGCAUACACAGUGGGAGGAGUGAACAACUCUUAAACAAGUUGAAAUCAGAUUGUUUAGAUAUUAUUCCCUUGCACAGCAAAGUGAACAUGGUUGUAAAUCUUACAUAUUUCUCAAUAAGAAUAAUGAAGGUAGUCCUGUCCUAUCUGAGAACUCUUCAAAAUGAAGGAAAAUUUAAGGCAGGAAUAAGUGAAAGAUUGAUGUCUACAACUAAAUUAAUAAAGAAGAUGACCAAGAUAGAAUUAAUUUACAUAAGAAUUUCAAAAUUGGCAAUUUUUUUUUCAUGGCUUGGAGUUUACUACUCCUUCCACCUCAGUGAACACCAGGUCAAAUUUCAGGAAAGCCACUACUGCUGUGGAGAACAGACUCCAAAGGACUUUCUGUGUUCUAUAAAAUGGACUCUGAGUUUUCUUCUACUGCAUUAUUAGUAUACACCAAUGAUUCCUUCUCAGAUCUUACAGUUCUGAUUCUCAUUCAUUCCCUUCCAUAUCUGCAGUGAUAAAUGCCGUGUAGCUCUGAAGCACAGAUUCUGGAUAAAGUUACAAAAUAUCCAGUUUAUCAUAGCUUAUUCUUUUGAUGCAACCUGUAGAAUUGAAUUGGUGAGACUGAAGAGAAGUGUGUCUCCAGUUUAUGAAGAAUGACAUGAUUUCAAGGAAAUAGUGGAUUGUGUCUAGCCAACAUGCAUCUACAAACUCAGUAGUAAUAGAAGAUCUGAGCAUUUUAACGGCGUUGUGUAUUUUAAGAGGUCCAAAACAGUUUGUCUCUUCAGAUUCAAGAACACCAGAAGAUAUAUUACUGAUGCCAGCCAGAAGAACUUGUUUCUUCAUCCUGAAUUCCAUCUUUGUGGCUUAGGAACAUGUCCCUGCCAGAGGAUGACCAAAUGACUUUAUAUCUGCUCCUGCUGUCUCUAACUGAGGCAAAUACACUCCAAAAUCAGAUUAGUUCUUCUUCUAGAAUCUGGAGAUCCCUCUAUCCUGCCUCUUUGUUAUCGUUUCAGAGUGACGUUGGAAAAUGCAAAUUUACCAUCUUCAAGGCAUCAUUCCAAUUCCACUAGCUAGUAAUUAUUUUUCAUCAUCCUCAAAGUACAAAAAAAGGAAGAGGAGACUUUGUUCUAGAAUGCACCUUGGCAAAUUUGAAGCUUAUUACUUGGGAAGCCAAUUUCUUUUUGGAUGGUCAUUCAAGAAAUUGUCAGAGUCCUUUUUCUUUCUCUUGACCUUAAAGCACAUAAUUGAUGCUGAACAUUCCUGAUAUUUGAAGGCAAUGACCUCUUCAGAGCCUUUUGGUCUUUCCUUCAUUACUUGAGAUUUUAGAAUACCAGCAUCUAAUUGCAGUUAGCUACUUCAAUUCAUUCAUACUUAUCUUGCCUUGGGUCACAUGUUAGUUAGAAGAUAAUGAGAAGAUGCAGGUAUGAAAAAACUGGACAGGUUCUUUAAGAAAGACAAGCUAAAUUGAAAAGCACAUCAGAUUCUUACCUAAAUUUCUAGCAUUCAUUUUUUCCUUUGACAGGAUACUUCUUUUCUGUGUACUGUGGAGUUCAGAAAUGGUGUCCGGAUGAUCCCCAGUACAGAGGAGUUGUAAGACCCUGUAACUUUCACCUGGACAUCUCCAUAAUGCUCAAGCAAGAAAACAUUUACUUAUUAAAGUGAUAGUAGUGGUUGUUCUUUUCAUCUUUGACCAAGAUGACUACAACUCUUAGUUGAGAAGCAACCAUAAUCUUGACUACUUCUUAGUGAAGCAUACUUUAUGUGUUAUUUUCCUGGACAAUGAGAAAUCCUCCUCAUUGUUUAUCUAUUGCAGUCUCUAAGAGAAAAGGCCUUGGGUCUUCCUUUUUCACAGUUCUAAUAAGACUUGAGAAAAGAUGACAGGAUUUUUCUGAAAUCCUCCAAAUCUGCCACCUUUCUUCUCUUUCUUAUCUAUAUUGGAGUGAUGGCAUGAUGGGUACUCAUACUGGAGAAAGUUAAAAUUAGAUUUCCUUAAAAUAAUUUUAUAUUCUCUGAAUGGGUACCCACUACUCUGUCAGCACCCAUUACUUUGGCUAAAAUUUCUCCAAGCACAGAAAAGUCUUUUCUUUAUGUGGAGAUCCUAAAUGAAUGAAAAGAGAAAGGAAAAGGAUCAAAGGUUUCAAGUUGAUGACUGAUUCAUUGUUUUGAAACAUUUUUUUUCCUGCCUGGAUAUUGCUCUGCUGUUUUCUAACUUGUUUUUUAGUUGUCUUAUAUUCCCUCAGCCGUGGCAGUAUUCGUGGAGCCAAGUGUGAGUGUACUACCUCAAAAUGCCAGCAGUGGAAGCUGGUAAGCAAGUGGGGAAAAAUCACCAAAGGAAUCUCUGAAGCUUGGGACAAAGGCAAAAAACACAUCAGUACUGCACUAACAGAGCAGCAGGUACCCUUAUAGAGAAGGUAACAUUACAGGUAAGGAAAUAAUUUACAUUUCUAUUUUGAUCUUAUCCACAUACCUUAUUACUCUCCCCUCAAAAUCCCAGGAAAAAAUACCCACAAAAAAUUUGAAGAAGUAUAAGAUCUCAGACAUGAUUAAUUUAGACUGCCUGAUUUUUUUAGUGGGGAUAAUGUGAAGUUCAAUCUUACCCAAUUUAUGGAAAAAUGUAUUAAAAUAUGAAAAUCCCUUAUACCUGUAAGGCAAUUUAAAACCUCAGUCUAGUUUUAAAACAAGGCUGGUUUUGUUUUUCUUUUUAAAAUGUUUUGCUUUUUCAUAUUUAGAAUAUAAACACAGCUUGUUAUAAGUUUUCCUUUCCAAACCAAAACAACUGUAGGCUUAUUUUUAGGUAAGUGAAGUCAGAUAAAGCCAAAACCAGACAGACUCUGUUCCCAUCCCUCCAUCUCCUUUUACUUUCUUACAGUCGAAAGUGUAGCAUGACUCUUUAUUAUGCUUCAGUUUCCUCAUAUGGAGAAAGGAAGGAGGUUGUUUUAUCUCCCACUUGGGAUGAUUAGGUGGAAUAAGUGCUAUAGAAGAGAAGUAAAUUUCAUUUAUUUAAUUAAUUGUCUUGCAGUCUUUUAUGCCGUCAUGCUGCAGUCCCUCUAUGGAGUUGCGAUCACUGCAAAAACCUCAAGAGGAUAUAUCCUUGUCUGAAUUGCUACAGUUAUUAUCUGUUACAGAAAGUAAAAUAAGGCAAACGUGUAAAACUCCUCAAGGCCGAAUGGAGAAGUAGAGAAAGGAGGUUUCUGCUGUGCCUGAUGACAAUAUUUGUUUUUUCCACACAAAAAAUAUUCUGGCUCCACGUUGGAGCACUAGUUGUGAUGAAUCCUAGUCUUGGUCGGAUUCUAAGGAAGGGCCAGAACGUUCGUUGAGGAAUAAAGAGUCACAUCACUCCAGAAAAUGUGUUCCAGCCCUCGUUUAUUACUCACAGAGCAGCAGGUAACCUGAUAGCUAAAGACAAAUCAAGUCACUAUCAAGGCUGAUAAAAUUAAAUACAACACGUGGGAAUUUCAUUCCUCCAGGCAAUCCUUGAAGUGAAAUUUUAUACUGCUGGAGUGUAUCCUUCAGAAUCAAUUGUUUCAAUGAGAAUCUGUCUUGUAAUCAGCAACAGCCUUGAGAUCAAAACUACUGGAAAGUCAUUUUGAACUUCUGUGUCACAAAGAUUUCAACUGAUUGAACUGUGUACACUUGUAAAAUUGCACUUGCUGAGGAAUUUGCAGCUGUAAUCAUGUGUUGAUACUCUAAAGGUGCAGAAAAGCAGCAAACUGUUGGAUUCUCCAUUGCAGACCAGUGACUUUUCAUCUUGAUGAAGUCAACCUCCAAAAUGUAUUGGAUCCUUCCCUCUAAAAUGAUCCCUGGUCCACUUUCAGAUUGCUGGUGGUACUGCACAUUGCUUUAAUUAAAUUUCUGUUGCAGAAAUGGUCCUCUGGCAUGGCGCAGUUUUAGACAUUUUUAUUUGUGUUCAAAUCUUGCAGCUCUGAAAGAUACAUAUUUCAACAUCUUGAAGUUGCUUUUGUUAUAGGAAUGGAAUUAUAUAUCCAUUGUUAAUAAUUAUUGUUGACAAGUAAUAGUUAUCUGAAUACACCAGUCAUAUUAGAUUGUAUAGUCAGGCUGACGUGUUUGCCUAAGGCUAAUCAGCCACUGCAACUUAACAGUUAAAAAAGUAGUGGUCAAAACUCAAUUACCACCUCCAUUAUAAAGCAUUUUAUACCUCUAAGAUAUACAUUUCCAUUUAGUUUGAAGGAGAUGGGUGUUCCCAAUGUGUACUUUACUUUCCUAACCUUUAAUUGAUUUAAGUUCAUGGUAAGCAGCCAAUGACGGUAUUUCAUCUUUUUUUUGUCAGGGUAGGCAGGGAUGUAAAUGAGUUUUGCAAUUAUGAAAUUGGAUGGUAAUCACUCAGAAUUUUUGUCUUUUUAUUAAAAAAUAAAAUCUCUUGCUUGAACCUAAGUACUGAUGGAUGCUUAUGUAGAUGUCUGCUCAGUCUGUUUGCUAUAAAGGAAAAAAGUCCUAGUGCCCACCCAGAUUUACACUUCAUGGGUAUUUUGCUUGCUUACAGUCAUCCAAUUCAGAUCUGAUCCUUUCCAAAAUUUCUUUUUUCUUUUUUUUUGGUAGCAAUUUUUUUGAACUUUGUGAUGUGCUGUUACAUGAAAAAAAUCCUCAAUAUUUAAAGGCCUUAAGCAUCUCUGAGCUUUUUUCUAAGUUAUUACAGAAUGUAUAAUUUUAUACUCCAUUUAAUAUAUAUUGUACCAUCUGUAAUGUUGAUACAACAGAAAUUUGGCAGUUCCUUUUAGAAACACUGCAUAAAGAAGCUGACCAGAGAGGGUAAGGGAAUUCUGACUUUAUGCUUUGGUGAAUUGACAUGAAAGCCACACACACAGUGGUAGUAAAAAGUACAUAGGAGUAAGCUUAUGUGUGGUUACCAGAUUCACAAAAAAACCCCAAAAAUAAACCACAAACCAAACAAGCAAAAAACCCCCCAAAAGACAAAAAAACCAAAACAAGACAGAAGAGGGAAAAUAUUUUAUCAUUAAAAGCCAUUGACAUGGCUAGUUUAGUUAUAUAUUAGGUUCCAUGAUAGAUGAACACCCUGGAGUGCUCUGCCUGUCACAGUAGCCCCUGUUGUUCCAAAACCAUUUCAUUACCUCUGCUGUAUUAUUGCACAGGAGAGCUUAAAUAAAAUAAAUGACUGUUGGGAAUAAAAUUGAGAAGCAUAUUCUAUCAUUCUGCUGAGAAGUAAUAAAAAAUCUUUGGCAGGAAAAGAUCUUAUUUUCUGAUUAAAAUUUAAUUAGAAUAAUCUGUAGCAGCAACUAGGUAUCUCAGUAUUUUAGGAUGGAUUAGUAUUGUAUGGAUUUGUGCUAACAAGUUCAGGACAGAAGGUAGCAUCUUAAAGAGAUCGUCUGGGACAGUGCAAAAUAUAAAUGUGCUGUUUUGUAGACUCUGAAUAUGGCCUCUCUUUGGCCAAAAAUCUAUAUCAUGCUUCUAACUAAAUGUUUUCUUUGUUUCCUUGUUCUUAAACCAAUACUGAAAGUACUGUAUUAUAUAGAAGUGUAACACAUGCAUAUCAAUAAAUAAAAAUAAAUGGAUUUUCAAAUAUAUUGAAUAGAUUAUCUGCAGUAAUUAAUGUUGUGACUAUUCAUAGCAAGUGAAUAAAAUUAUAAUAUAAAAUAGAGUUCCCUGUAUGGAUGUGCACAUUGGAGAUCUAUUCUGUUUAUCCAUGAAACAAAAUAAUUUUUUCUUGAAUAAGAAUCCCAAGCAUUAUAUUUCUUCAGUAGAGCAGGGAAUAUCUCCUACCACAUUAAAAGUCCUUUUUGAAAGGAAACUGAUAUCUAACACAACUGUUCUAGCCUUGUUAUGGCAAAUUCUGGUGGGUGUACUGGCCUGUUGUCUUCAGGCCAGAUGGAAUAAAAAUGUUUUCUUUCUUCACAAAAUGUGAAUCCUGGAAAAUUAUCACUUAGACAUUUUAAAAAGCAACAGGACAUGGAUGCUAGACAUCCCUGAAAAAGUAAUAUUUCAGGUUAAUUUGUUGAACUGUUUAAAAGAAAGGGAAAAAAUCCAGUUUGACAGUGAACUCUGUGCACCUUGAAGCAAGCUGGGAACCACAGUUCAGCUAUCCACAGUGCUGGUUUAGUGCUGCCUUUGAAAAUGGAGAACAGGGGACUGGAUCAGCCACGGGCAUUCAUAUUGUAGGCAUGUGAGGAUGAUUCUUGCUUUAAUUACUCGUUUAUUCCUUAUAUACUACUUUCUAGAUUAUUUCAUCUGUUUACAAAAAUGAUCAGUCAUUAUGAGCAGAGGGAAAUCCAUGUUACCCUUUGAAUUCAGUAAUCAUCAGGAACUCUGAACUGCAGAAUAUGCAUUCCUGUUCCGCAGUUCUAAGUGGCAGUGCAUUGAGAGGGAAAGAAAAAUCACUGCUCUCUCACUGAAUGUCUUGGAUCAGUUCAACAAAACAUAAAGGAAAUCCUGAUAUGAAUUUUAAUGAAAAAAAAUUCCAAUUCAGAUCUAAUAAAUCUAAAAUAAAGCUUAAAAACCAUUCAAGUAUAGAUCUUGGUGAUAUCUAGUUUAUUGGUCAUAAGUGAAUGCUAGCCUUUAAAACAACACUGCAACACAGACUGCAUCAGAUACAUUUGUUUUGAAAUUAAAAAUCUGCUAUAAAGAAUUUUAUUUUGUUAUGUUUCAUAACAAUAUAUGCAGGGAAUUUUUGCUCAUUAUAAUUGUACAGCUGGUUUUUAUACUUUUCCAGGAAAGUCUAUAAAAACAAAACAGAAAUAUGUGAUUGGCAUCCAUAUCUGUUGAUUUACUGCCUCCUCCUACAUGCCUCGAAUUUUACACAUCUGUGGUUAACCAAGAUAUUGGCAAGGAUAUUGGAAAGGGAGUAUAGUUUUGGUUUGUACAAGAAGUAUUGCCUUAAUCUCUAGUUUCUUUUUGCCAAUAGUUAGAUAAGUCUGUGUCAAAAAAUGUCACACCUGAACAAUCCCAUGGCAUUAAAUGAUUUUUCAAGGAUUCAGUGGUAUUAAAUUAAGAAGAAUUACCUAGUCACUUUGUUUGUCUUUAUAGUGCAGUUUGUAACCUAAUAAACUUUUCUGUUUAUUCUUUCAUAGAAUGAGAAAAUAUUUCCAGAUGACAUUUUUGAUCUUGUUUCUGGAAGAGGUUAUGUAACUUUCUGAUAUCACUUUACAGAGAGUCACUGCACAUAUUUUAGUUGUUUUUGUAUCUUCUGUAUUCAUCUGUACUGCUUAUGUGGUAAUUAGAAGAGGUAGUAUAUGAAAAGGCUGCAUUUCCCACAACUUUUUUUUGACACAUUUACAGGAUUAUAAGUGUUGUCAAUGUCUCUUAAUCUAAAAGUAAUGUAAGACCAUCUGGAAGAAGGGCCACUAAUGGUGACAUGGGAAACUCUUGUAUAAGGGAAUGACAGUUCUUUCUCAGACUACUGUGAGUGGGAUGCCAGACAAGUCAAAACCAUUGUACUGUGGUUUCACAGCCAGAGAUGUAGGUUCUAGGGAAGUGAAUCCAGCAUGUGAACACUGGGGUACAGUCAGCAACCUGAAGCUGAGCUUUAUUUUCACUCCCUCCUUGCUGGUAUACAGGUAAUUCUGUGUGGCAAUGGCAAGUGAUAUCCAAUUUUUCCUUGCUAGUAGAUUCUCUUGAUUAAAUAUCACUAAUUCCAUCAAUAUUAUUUUUCAAUCAAAAAUGAUUGAAAGACUUGAAAUAUAUCUGGCUUUCAGUUCUGAAAACCAAUUUAUUACCCAACUGAAUUAAAUAAAUAGUUUGUAUAAUAGAAAUAUUAUUGCUUAUAUGUAACCCUAACCGUAAAAGUUCUGUAUUAGCUCUUUAAAUUAUGUUUACAUUCAUAUCUGUAAAAUUAGGUUUAGGUCAUCUAUAACAGCAGGGACAUUCUUGUUUCCCUCCCUAAAACACUGAAGUAACCUAGCGACACUCUAGUUUGGGAUUUAUGGCUUUGCUUUCACUGUUUCAACUGCACAGCUGGGAAAAAAGCGUAUAAAAAUGCUUAUGUUACUCACAUUGCUGAGAAAUUUUUCUUGAGUAUGAGGAAUAUGUGAAGUUAAAAAUUUACCCUGUAUCAGCAUAUGGGUUGAAUCUCUUGGACUCUUUUCUUCUUACUGUCAUAACAAACAUGACAGAAACUGUACUUGAAUUCUCCAGCCUUGUGUCUUAGUAUUUAAAACUAAUAUCCAGAACUUACAAAAUAUAUGCUACUUAUUUUAGUUGCUGUGUCCUCACAUAAAGGAAUUUUUUUAGUCUGUUUCUCUCUUUAUAAUUAAUUAUGGAUGCCUUGUCCUAUUUCGGCGUGGAGAAUAUAACCUUUCCUAUUACUGAUUUAGAGUUUCUGUCUCUUUUUUGUUAUUGUUCUUUCUACUUUUCUUUGGUCAUUUUCUCUUUUGCUGGGAUCCAGACAGUUCUUACAAAACUUUAGUAGUGAUGAGAAAAGAUUUUUAAUACAUAGUGGCUUGGAACUGAACACAGGCUCUUAGCAGUUCUUGGAGAGAAGAGAGGGAGAUGUGUUUCUAUGAUUUUAUCUUAAAAUAGUUUCCAGUUUAAACUAUUCUUUCUAAAGAGAAGCAUUUUUUCCUAACUAUAAAUGGACUGUGUUUCAAUAUGCUCUCUGAUCAUAAAGCUGAUGAAAUGGUCCUCUCUGUAUGGCAGAUUACUUCAGCAGAAUUUACAAAUGGGAGAUGAUGAUUUUGCUAAUGUCCAUAGGCAGGUAGACAGAAUUUGGUCCCAGAUGCUCUGCCUAAUGUUCAUGGCAAAAAUGACUCAAAAAACAAUGCCUCCAUAUGCCAUAAUUGCUGGAAUUAUUUCUCAGGCAUAUUCCCUUGUCAUCCCUCAUAUGUAGAACUCAUUAGAUUCCUAGUGGGAGAACAUAUGGAGAAGAGAGAUGAUGGAAAACAUUAUAAAACAGAUUGCGUAUUUAAAUUUAUAUUAUAGAAGACCUCUGUGCACAGGCAAACUUAGCAGAGAAAGUUCAAACUCUUUCUUUCCACUUCAUAAGGAUAUCAAUAUUUGUGAAGCUGUUAUCUCAGUGCAUUCAAAUCCACUUAUAUGGGUUAAAACCUGACAUUAGGGAUAAUAGUGGGAAUUUUGCUGCUAAUUUGAGGUCAACUCUGUAUUCCCUUAAUUAUUUUUCCAAAUAUUCAGUUCAACUAUAACUGUCUAAGAUGUUUCCACUAAUAGGAGUGACCAGAAGUCAAACUUCCACCUAUAUAAGUCUGAUGGCAGGAUCAGGCCUUUUGCUAUAUAUUUGUGAUUUCAGUGUCAACAUAAUGACUUUGAUGAAUACCUUGUUUGUGUUUCACAAAAAAAGUGAUAACAUUUCUUUCAUUCAUCUUAGCUGACUAAUGAAUGGGGAUCAUAUCUAGUGCAGAGCUGUUUUAAUGACUUCUAAAUAUUAAAAGUUAAUUAUUUAUCCUUUAUAUUAUAGUUAAAUAACACAAAAAUAAGGUAGUCAUACAUGAAUUUAAAAUAUUAUACACUGAUGUUUGUGAUGCUUUUUUGGUUACACUUAGGACUCUUUCUUGGUUUAUGAUAAAUUUUUUUCUGUUUUUUUUUUUUUUUCCUCAAUACUGAUCAUGAAGCUGGUUUCAACAGGGAGCAUUUGGGGUACUAUAAAGUGUCUAGUAGUGAAGGUGGGUACUAGCAUAAGCUACCCACUGGAUAAGGUGGGAGGUGGAUAGACUGAUGUCUGGGAACACUAUGGCCUUACUGCAGUGGCUGGUGAAAUAUGGCCUAUCACUUAGGGAAAGUGUAGAAAGUGUUUCUAGAGAAACAGUUCUGCAGACAUUGUUGCCCUGCUCCCAAAGAAAUGGUUCUGGCAGGGUGUCGCUUAUUGCAUGGAGCAGAAUCAAAUGUCAUACCUAAAUAAAUACUGGAAGGACACAGAGAAACAGUGUGGACAUCUAUUAUGGUGUGGCUCUACAGGCCUUAAAAAUGUCAGAUAUGUUCGUAGAAUGUCCAUCUAGGUCACUACCUUUUUAAAACGAGACACAAAAUGGCUGUUUAGGUAGUGUUUGCAAUAGAGUUGUGUGCGUAUUUGUGGGAAAAUAUGCCUGCCUGAAGCCAAGAUUUGGUGUCAUGUUGUGAGAGGGGGCCUCCAGAAGUUCACAUCUGAUGCUCCUCCUUUACUGCUGGAAAUGGAUCGUGUUAUACUGUUCUUCUAAGCCAGAGUAGUGCAGAAUACUGCUGACAGGCUGUACCACUUGUCCUGCAUCUUUCAGAGAAGAAUGGUUGCUCUGGCAAGCCUUGGCAGGAAGCAAAACACGCAUUACCACAUAAACUUUUGUCUUGAUACUGACAACCAUGAUUGUUCUCUGUGUUGGUUUUUUUUUUCUGACAACUACAGGAUAAAUAUUUAUUAUUAGGUGAAAAUUUAAAAUUUGUUAUUUUACACCAGUCUGAACAAUGCACUUAUUUGUUUAUCCUCUUAAAAUUUACUCAUUUGUGCUAUAAAUGUUUUAGCCGAUCUGUCUGCUACUGUUGGCACCUUUUAAAAUAGUGUCAUCAGCUAGUACUUUUUCAGUCACUGCAGAGAAAUGCUCUUUAGGUGGUAAGUCUUUCAUCAGCAUCUUGUGGUUUUUCCAUUCUGUCAGUACCUACAUUAGAAAUUAGAUGAUGAAGUAGUAAAAGAACCUUGAAAAGGUACUGAUUUAAUUAUUCUCAGGCAAAUAACUAGACCUUGCUAAGUGAAGCAAGUUUUAGCUCCUAUGUGUAAGAUUGUGUUCCAUCAUUCAGAAUAUCUGGCCCUCUGCUUUGAUUCAAAUUUGAUUAUACAGAAAUUUGUGCAGUUGUAAUAGCAAUAUAAAACAUUAACAGCUACUUGAAAGAUGGAACCUUAAGUAUUGAUGUAUGCAAUCAAGUAUCCAGCACAUUUCAAACUGAGGGCUCUACCUAAUAUUCCUAAUGGAUGAGGAAAGUAGCAACCAUUUUCCACAUUUUUAUGUCUUUGGAAGGAAAUAGAGACAUACCAGAAGACUGGGAGCUAAAGUGCUGACUGUACUUGAGUUAAUGAUGUGUUUACUGCCCAAGUCCAUAUAGCUUGGAUCUUACCUCACCUUUUGUUGAAGUUUGUAACACAAGGACCUUAAUCUGAUCUAUUUCUGCAAUUAGCAGUUCUGAAAGGGGACACAAAAGGGAGUUCAAGGCUGCUUGUGCCUAGGUUAGCUCUACUGUCUUAAGUUAUUCUCCAGGUAAAUCUAGUCUUAAUAUUCUAGCGAAAUAGUUCAGAAAAUUAAGCUGCAGUUAAUUUGGAGAUCUAGACGAAAGAGUACAUGAAGUAUCAAGGACUUGGGUAAGAACAAAAUAGAAAUGACAGAAAAUUUAGAUUUCCUUUACUGUUUCACCAGAUAUCACAUUGCUGUGUAAUUGUGGUAAUUAUGGUCCUAGUUCCAUCUCCAACAGAGAAAUAUGGGAAAUUCAGUCCUGCUCUUUUUUUCUGCCAUAAAACACAUACCAAAAUCAGUUUAUAAAAGUAAUUUGGCAUAAAACUUUUCCUCUCAAAGCCCCUGUGCAAGGUCUUUGUUCUAUGCCUGUGCUCCUUAAAUCCUGAAAUAGAGCUUUCUGGGAACUUUGCUGGUAACUAAAGCUUCUUGUGGUCGUCUAGAGAGGUUUACAUCUCAUACUGACUACCUGUGCUGGCUGUUCCAAAAACUAUAGCAUUCAUUCCAACUCCUGCCUCUCCUUACUUUGUUGUUGGUCAGUAUAGUAGAAAACAUGCUUUGUAAAUACUGUCUUUAAAUUUGAUAUAUUUGAUUAUCUAUAGCAAUUCCAAAACAGUAUUUCUUACUUUGUGUCAAACUUAUAAAUGAUUAAAAUGUCCUGAAUAGUCAUAAACUCAUUCAAUUCAUUCACAAUAAAGAACUGUGGUGCCUUAAGCUACUUUUUACCAGUCAGAGUAUUGUCAAGGUGACCUUUCAUGCUGCUUCAACUACCAUUAUUUAACUAUUAGAAUGAUGGAAAGCUUGCACUUUGCUAUUUGAGUGGCAACAUUCCUAGACAUGGGGAUCUGAAAGAGUGGAACCUAUGAGAGACUAUAAUUAAUGUGCCACAUUAAGGAGUUAAGGAUAAGCAGCCAAAGAAAGACUAAACCUAGUGGAGCUAGGCAGCUGCAGUCUAGUCUUGAAAACUAAAAAUCCAUUUGCAGUGCGUUUUAUAUUCCUAAUAUCUGCUGGUGGUGUCAAGUUUUUAAUGAUAACUCAUUUUUCCUGCACUGUGCUUUGACCAUCCAUUGUUAAAAAAUCUACAUGACAAUGCAGCCUCUGGAUUGCUAUUAUAUUGCUUCUCAAAUUUAAAUAUAUAAUGAGAUAAAUGUCAUAUUAUAGUUUUACCUUCUCUUUUAAAAAGAGAAAAUUAAUUUCUGUUUGUUUUGAAAUUUUAAUGUCCAUAUUUAUACAAAUAUAAACAAUUGGAAAAAACACUAAAUAUCUGAAAGCUCUGUGUGUGUGUGUGUGUAGAAUUAAUGAGUUUUUAAAACAGUUUCAAGCUACACAAAAGCCCACUAGGGACUGGUAUAUUAGACCAAAAUUAGUGAUACACUGGAUACACUAAUCCUUGCCUACCCAGGACGUGCCCACUGUGUAGAGAGGAAAGGUACACUAAAGCAAAUAGGAACUUGUUGUAUCCCACUCUAUAAAAUCUGCAUAUGUUUGUCUGUGUAUGCUUUCACUGUAGGGCAAGAGAUUUUGUAUGCUGUAAAGACAGCAGGAAGCAAUCGUAGAAGGCAGUAGAAAACACAUCUUUUGGGUCACAGAGGGGUAAAAAAGGGAAAAAGUUAUCUUUUUAGUUAAAAUGCAAAUUUAGAAAAAUAUUUUUCUUUGUUUUAAAUGAAUUGAAAAGAAAAACGAGUUGUUUGUGUAAGUUGUACUUACACAACAAUAAUUGAGAAAUAAUAAUUUUCCCUUUAGAAAAUAAUUUUGCUGUAUUUUAAGUCUGUUCAUUACCAUGUUAAAAUGUAAUUUUUCCAUGACUGUAUGAUUAAAUGCAUUCUCUUUACAUGAGGCUUGACUCAUGUUGGUAGAAAGCAAAAUCACUAGAAAGAUGUGGCUGUUGAAAAAGCUUUUGUCUUCACAAUGCUGUUGGAGGAGGAUGAACAUCACAGACUGUGGGAGCUGUGUAAAACGCAGAACAGAAGAAGGUUUCUUUUUCCAUCAGUGGUUAGGUGAUUUAUAUACAUGACUCUCAUUAACAUUAAUGGGAGUUAUCUGCCUCAUUUUUAUGAUCCUGAUGUGAAGUUAAUGGCAGUCUUCCCAUUGUCUCUAGUGGGCUGUGUAUCAACCACUAAGUGCACAAAUGGGUUUGGUUGAAAUAUUGGUGCUUGUAGAAUGGUGCUUGCUUAGAAUUUCAACAUGCUUCAUUUACAGUUACAAAAAAAAUGCUGUGUCAAUGCCUAAGUGUCUGAGCCGAGGAGUUUAAUACUGCAAAGUGUGCUGAUCUGUGUGCAUUUUGGGGCAUCCACACGGCAGACUGAAGGGAUAUCUGAGCCAGCUCACAAUGAUCUGAUGUGUGCAGGGACAAUAAACUGCCAAGCAGCAUGACCUGAUUUACUUUUCAGAGAUCUGAACUGGAAUAGGUGUAAUGGAGUCUGUUGUCCAGGCCAUGCGAUGGGAGAGUUGCAGUGCCAUGUGCAAUCUACCCUGGGAUCUGUCUCUGUGCUGAGUUCUCCUCUGGUUUUGACUGGGUUUGUUGUGUGGUUUUUGGUGUUGUUGUUGAUUGGCGUGUUUUGUUUUGUUUUUUGUUUGUUUGGGGGGGUUGUGUGUUUGUUUUUUUUUAAUAGAGGAAUCGUAUUUUCAUUGCAGUAAACCUUUCAUUGACUUACGUAUGCUUUGCAAUUUUAACAGAACUAGACUCUGAUACUUUUUCUUCUGUGAGGAAGGGAAGGAGACCUGAUAUUAUGAGUAGAACUUGAAGGACAUCUGUUCACAUUUGUACCAGGAUAGAGUUCAUUUUCUUCCUGGUAGCUGGUACAGUGCUGUGUUUUGGAUUUAGUAUGAGAAUAAUGUUAAUAACACACUGGUGUUUUGUUUCUAGAUAGAUAGCGUGUAAGUAAAAGACUUUUCAGUGUCCUGUGUUCUGCCAUUGAGGUGAUGCACAAGACACCGUGAGGGAGCAUGGCCAGGAAAACUGACCCAAACUGACCAAAGGGAUAUUCCAUACAAAGAAUAUCAAGCUUAGUAUAUAAACUGCAGGGAGUUGGGUGGGAGGGGUGAUAACUGCUCAGGAGUGGGCUGGGCAUUGGCCAGUGGGUGAGCAAUUGUAUUUUGCAUCACUUGUUUCUCUUGGAUUUUCUUUUUCUCCCCUUUUUCCUUUUUUUCCCCUCCUUUUAAUUUUUUUAAAAAUUACUAUUAUUAUUAUUAGUGCUGUUAUUAUUAUUAUUAUAAUAAUUUUAGUUUGUUCCAAUUAUUAAACUGUUCUUAUCUAAACCCAUGAGGGCUAUUUUAUUUCUUCUCUGACUCUCAUACCCAUCCCACUGGGGAGGUAAGUGAGCAGUUGCGUGGUACUUAGUUGCUGGCUGGGGUUAAACCACAACAGCAUGCAUGUUCCUUACUGUGACCCAGCCACUCCAGGAACAGAUGACCAGCCUUGCCAUCAGUGAAGAACAUUUCUCACCACACACAGACAAGCCUGUACAAGAUAGCUUUCCUCUGGACUGGAAACUUCUCUUGUAGUUACUCAUGUUCAUUCUAAAAUAUUGAAGCAAUACCAGGUUUCUCCUUAUCACAAUGUGACAUUGGUGUAUACAUAAAAACCUGGCCUACAGAAGAACUGUUGGGAGGAAAAAUUUUAUGUUGAAGCUGAGCUUCUAAUAAUGUUAGGGGAAGCUACAUCCUGAGAGCUUUCAGACACAAAAGGUUCCUCCUCCCAGUCUGCCAGAUAUCACCUCUGAUAGUCUCAGUUCCAGGUCCGGGCUGUAGCAAGGCUGGGCAUGUACUUUGAAGACACAUAUGUACAAACAAUACAACGCAGACCAACAUAGGCAAGAGACUGGCACUUUUAGCAGCACCCAUGUAUAGAUGCACAAAACAUGCACGGGGUCAUAUGUAACACAGACCACCCAUUCACUUCCUCCUCUCUGGCUGAUCAGGAUUGAAACCUUUGCACCAAAAUAGUUUGCUGCACCUGAAAUGUGCAACAAAAUGCAGUUAAUGUCCUCCUCAGGCUGAAAUUUUGCUAUGUUUUUUCUAUCUGCAUGGCAUCAUGAAAUAUCAGCUAUUGCAGAUGGACUGGAUUUUCCCCGGCUCUGGGUUCCUUACAGUUUCAAAAUAGAUGAGAGAAGCAGGGGAGGUGCUAUACAACAUUGGUAAUCCAUCAGGUAAGGAACAAACAAGCACCCAAAUUUGGGAUUUACUGGCUACAUUCACAUAUUUUAGGGGAUGCAUAGCUGGAGUAAUUGUAAGAAGAACAGAACAAAUACUCCCUACUUGUUCAGUUCAGGUACAGCUCCUCAUCAUGCAUAACAGAAAAGGUAGGUGUAGGGAAGAAAAUAGAUAUUAAUACCAUUCUGUUUGCCUGUAGGAAGUCUUAAAAUGUUAUUUACAAGCUGUGGUUUGGUGCUUUGGUUUUAAUUAACUUUUUUUUUUUCCUUUCUUAUUUAUUUUUAGACUAAGCAUUGUUAGAUAAUUUAAAAAAGCACUUUAAUACCUUGUUAGCUAUCACAAGUUGGACUGCACUGCUCUGGAAUUUUUUUAUUGCAUAUAUUUCAAAUUUUAAUAAAGUUCUGUAUUUUUA